AAAUACGGGGAAAAGAAACCAACUGGGAUUACCUUAGUAACGGCGAGUGAAGCGGUAAAAGCUCAAAUUUGAAAUCUGGUACUUUCAGUGCCCGAGUUGUAAUUUGUAGAAUUUGUCUUUGAUUAGGUCCUUGUCUAUGUUCCUUGGAACAGGACGUCAUAGAGGGUGAGAAUCCCGUUUGGCGAGGAUACCUUUUCUCUGUAAGACUUUUUCGAAGAGUCGAGUUGUUUGGGAAUGCAGCUCAAAGUGGGUGGUAAAUUCCAUCUAAAGCUAAAUAUUGGCGAGAGACCGAUAGCGAACAAGUACAGUGAUGGAAAGAUGAAAAGAACUUUGAAAAGAGAGUGAAAAAGUACGUGAAAUUGUUGAAAGGGAAGGGCAUUUGAUCAGACAUGGUGUUUUUUGCAUGCACUCGCCUCUCGUGGGCUUGGGCCUCUCAAAAAUUUCACUGGGCCAACAUCAAUUCUGGCAGUAGGAUAAAUCAUUAAGAAUGUAGCUACCUCGGUAGUGUUAUAGCUUAUUGGAAUACUGCUAGCUGGGAUUGAGGACUGCGCUUCGGCAAGGAUGUUGGCAUAAUGGUUAAAUGCCGCCCGUCUGAAAAACCCGGACCA
rnacentral:rRNA from 1 species